rnacentral:rRNA from 1 species
AUGGUGGCGUCCCUGCAGUCGUCCGUCACCGCACUCCAGAAGGACAAGUCCUCCUCGUCGAGCGCUGAUGGAGGCCAUGAUGGGCAGCACCACAAUGAUCGGCCGCCCCGGUUUCAGAAGAUGGACUUCCCCAAGUUCGACGGCAAGUCUGAUCCUCUCGCAUUCAUCAACAGAUGCGAGUCCUUCUUCCAUCAACAACGGAUCGCCGAGGAGGAGAAGGUGUGGAUGGCGUCAUACAAUCUCGAGGGUACUGCCCAACUGUGGUAUAUGCAGGUCCAGCGCGACGAGGGCACACCUCCGUGGCCCCGCUUCACCGAGCUGCUCAAUCUCCGCUUCGGGCCACCUCUGCGCGCUAACCCGCUGGGCGAACUAAUGGCGUGCAAGCGCACGACGUCCGUCGUCGACUUCCAGGAGCGGUUUGAGGCGCUCCUUCCCUGGGCAGGCACCUUAUCCGAGACACAGAAGGUUCAGAUCUUCACCGCGGGACUCCAGCCACCCCUCAGCCUCGACGUGGAAAUCCACAACCCGCAGUCCCUCGCCGUCGCCAUGAGCCUCGCCCGCAAAUUGGAGCUGCGCGACCAGUGCGCGCUCACCUCCGCGCCACCGGUGCGUUUUCCGCAGAAGGGCAUCCUGCCGACGCCGGGACCACGCCUCGCGCCCCCCGCACCGGCUCCACCAGCCGCACCCCAGCAUGCCCUCAGUCUGCCGGAAGGGCGCCCAAUCAAACGUCUGUCACAGACGGAGAUGGAGGAACGCCGUCGCCUGGGCCUAUGCUUCAAUUGUAAUGAGAAGUUUGGCAGGGGCCACAACCGCGUGUGCCAGCGCAUCUUUCUCCUCGACCUAGCGCCGGACGACGACGACGACGACGACACGGCCUCCGCCACUGCUGAUGCAUCGCCGGCCGACCCUCAGAUCUCGCUCCACGCAAUCUCCGGCGUGCGCACGAGCGAGACCAUGCAGAUGCAUAUCACUCUCGGGGGUGUCUCCCUCCUCGCCCUGAUCGACUCAGGCUCCACCCACAACUUCAUCGCCGAGGAGGCGGCCGCUCGUGCUACGCUGCCAUCCCCCACCACCGAGAAGAUGCGCGUCACGGUGGCCAACGGCGAGCGCGUUCUGUGCCAGGGCGCGUACCACGUCGUGCCCUUCCGCAUCGACCAAGAGGAGUUCUCGGAGGAUUUCCUCGCCUUGCCGCUCGCGGGCCACGACAUCGUCCUGGGCACGCAGUGGCUGGCGACGCUCGGACCGAUCCUGUGGGAUUUCCGCGCCCUCUCCAUGACAUUCUGGCGGAGGGGCCAUCGGGUGUGCUGGCGCGGCAUUGCAGGACCGGACGGACCAGCCCUGAAAUCAUGCAGCGGCCGCGACUUCCUCGACGCCAUCAUCACCAAGUUCGACGACAUCUUCGCCGAACCCUCCGGCGUGCCACCACCCCGCAGCCGCGACCACAGCAUCACCCUGCUGCCCGGUUCCGCCCCGGUGGCCGUCCGUCCGUAUCGCUACCCGGCCGCGCACAAGGACGAGCUGGAGCGUCAGUGCGCCGCCAUGCUCGCCCAGGGCAUCAUCCGAGCGAGUUGUUCCGCAUUCUCAUCGCCGGUACUGCUGGUCCGCAAGGCCGACGGGUCCUGGCACUUCUGCAUCGACUACUGCGCCCUGAACGCCAUUACCGUCAAGAAUGCGUUUCCGAUCCCGGUGGUGGACGAACUCCUCGACGAGCUCCGGCACGCUCGUUUCUUCACCAAGCUCGACUUGCGCUCCGGCUACCACCAGGUGCGGAUGCGUGCGGAGGACAUCCCGAAGACCGCCUUCCGUACUCACGACGGCCUCUACGAGUUCCUGGUGAUGCCGUUCGGCCUCUGCAACGCGCCGGCGACGUUCCAGGCCCUCAUGAACGAUCUGCUACGGCCGUUCCUGCGCCGCUUUGUUCUCGUCUUCUUUGACGACAUCCUCAUUUUUAGUGAGACGUGGGCUGACCAUCUCCGCCAUGUGCGCACCGUCUUCACCGUCCUGCACCAGCACCGGCUCUUCGUCAAGCAAUCCAAAUGCGCGUUCGCCGUCGAGUCGAUCUCAUACCUGGGUCACACCAUCUCCGCUGCAGGAGUGGCCAUGGAUCCGGGAAAGGUCCAGGCAGUGGCCGAAUGGCCGCAGCCACGCUCGGCGCGCGCGGUCCGGGGGUUUCUCGGCCUUUCGGGGUACUACCGCAAGUUUGUCAAGGAGUUUGGCGUGGUUGCCGCGCCACUGAUGGCCCUCCUUCGCAAGGAUGGUUUCUCCUGGUCGCCGGAGGCGGCAGCAGCUUUUACCGCUCUCAAGACGGCGGUCACCACGGCUCCCGUCCUCGCGUUGCCGGAUUUCACGCGGCCGUUCAUCGUCGAGUGUGACGCCUCUACAUACGGCUUCGGGGCCGUCCUUCUUCAGGACCAGCACCCGGUGGCUUUCUUUAGCCGGCCAGCCGCGCCACGUCACCGUUCCCUGGCAGCAUAUGAACGGGAACUCAUCGGCCUGGUGCUCGCGAUUCGUCAUUGGAGACCAUACCUCUGGGGGCGCCAAUUUGUGGUAAAAACGGAUCACUACAGUCUCAAAUUUCUACUUGACCAGCGUUUGGCAACCAUUCCGCAACAUCAUUGGGUCGGCAAACUACUGGGGUUCGACUUCACCGUGGAGUACAAGGCCGGUAGUACAAACACUGUGGCGGACGCUCUUUCCCGCCGCGACACGGAGGAGACGUCGAUCAUUGCGAUCUCGGGUCCUCGCUUCGACUUCAUCGAUCGCCUCCGGCAAGCUACGUCCACAGACCCGGCGCUCGUCACGUUGCGUGAGGAUAUCACGGCGGGUACGCGGCAGCAGCCGUGGUCGCUCUCCGACGGCCUCGUCACUUUCAACGGCCGCCUCUACAUUCCGCCGUCGUCCCCGCUACUCCAGGAGAUCCUCAGUGCAGUGCACGACGAUGGGCACGAAGGCGUCCUGCGCACCUUGCGUCGUCUCCGCCGCGACUUCCACGCACCUAACCUUCGCAAGACGGUGCAAGAGUACGUCCGCACCUGCAGUACUUGCCAGAGGUACAAGUCCGAGCACUUGCACCCCGCCGGGCUGCUGCUGCCACUGCCGGUGCCCACGGGCGUGUGGACUGACGUCGGCAUCGACUUCGUGGAAGCGCUCCCUCGCGUGGGUGGGAAGUCCGUCAUCCUCACCGUGGUGGAUCGCUUCAGCAAGUACUGUCACUUUGUGGCGUUGAGCCACCCGUACACGGCCGAGUCGGUGGCACAGGUGUUCUUCGCCGAGAUCGUGCGCCUCCAUGGCGUUCCGCAGUCCAUGGUUUCGGACCGCGACCCCGUCUUCACCUCGGCGUUUUGGCGGGAGCUCAUGCGCCUCACCGGGACGAAGUUGCACAUGACGUCGGCAUUUCAUCCUCAGUCGGAUGGCCAAACGGAGGCUGCUAACAAGAUCAUUGUCAUGUACCUGUGUUGCCUCACAGGGGAUCAUCUGCGUCAGUGGCUACGGUGGCUACCCUGGGCCGAGUACAUCUACAACACCGCCUACCAGACAGCGACCCAAGAAACUCCAUUCAAGCUGGUGUAUGGCCGCGAUCCUCCUACUAUUCGUUCUUACGAGCCAGGCGAAACGAGGGUGGCGGCCGUGGCAAAAAGCAUGGCGGAGCGAGACGAGCUACUCGCUGAUGUCCGCUAUCGACUACAGCAGGCGCAGGCGGUCUACAAAUCCUACUAUGACAGACGCCAUCGCGACGUCAGGCAUGUAGUGGGCGAUUGGGUGUGGCUUCGUCUUCGCCAGCGCGCUACAUCUUCUCUCAACUUGCCAACCAGGGGCAAGCUCAAGCCACGCUUCUACGGGCCAUACCGCAUUUCCGAGGUCGUCAACGACGUCGCCUACCGCCUUGAGCUACCGGUGCGCUCGCGCCUCCAUGAUGUGUUCCACGUGGGCCUCCUCAAGAAAUUCUUCGGCACGCCUCCAACUGCACCGCCGUGUUUGCCUCCAAUCCACAACGGUGCGGCUGUCCCGGAACCGGAACGCGUGACUCGUUCACGUCUCGCACGCGGCGUGCGCCAGAUCCUUGUCCACUGGAAGGGCGAGGCUGCGUCAUCGGCAACAUGGGAGGAUCUUGACAGUUUCGUCGAGCGCUACCCCGCUUUUCAGCUCGAGGACGAGCUGCUCGUCGAGGGGGGGAGAGAUGUCAUGUGGGGCGCUGCGUACAGACGCGGGUCGCGUGCCCAGCAACGGCCGGCCACGGCUGGCGAAGCGUGA